GGUAUUUUGACUAUACGAAGGUAUUGAAAUAAGGCUUUAAUUGGGUGCUAAGAGAAUGGUUUAACAAAAAUUAUCUUUCUUUAGAUUUAAAAUGGAAGUUGAUUUAAAAAUGAAAAAGUUUUUAUAGAAUUUUGGGACAAGAAGACCCUAUGAAUUUUUUUAAGAAUUUUAUUUUGGGAAUUUAAUGGAGAAUUAAAAGUGGAAUUUUUAGUUGGUUGGGGUGACUUCUAAAGAAUGAUUAUCUUUAGAAAUUGGAGGAAUUGGAUCCUAAAAUUUGGAAUGUUUGAAUAAAAUACUCUAGGGAUAACAGCGUUAUUAUUUUGGAUAGUUCAUAUAGAUAAAAUAGUUUGCGACCUCGAUGUUGGAUUAAGAUUCUUUUAUAAUGAAGCGGUUAUGAGAAGAAGUUUGCUCAACUUUUAAAUUCUU
rnacentral:rRNA from 1 species